rnacentral:rRNA from 1 species
CAGCAGCCGCGGUAUACGGAGGGUGCAAGCGUUAAUCGGAAUUACUGGGCGUAAAGCGCGCGUAGGCGGCUGAGUAAGUCGAUUGUGAAAGCCCCGGGCUCAACCUGGGAAUUGCAGUCGAGACUGUUCGGCUAGAGUGUGGGAGAGGGUGGUGGAAUUCCCGGUGUAGCGGUGAAAUGCGUAGAUAUCGGGAGGAACAUCAGUGGCGAAGGCGACCACCUGGCCCAACACUGACGCUGAGGUGCGAAAGCGUGGGUAGCAAACAGGAUUAGAUACCCCGGUAGUCCCUGUCUCUUAUACC